UUAGGUUAAGUUAUGAAGGGCGCAUGGUGAAUGCCUUGGUACUAGGAGCCGAUGAAGGACGGGACUAACACCGAUAUGCUUCGGGGAGCGGUAAGUACGCUUUGAUCCGGAGAUUUCCGAAUGGGGCAACCCAAUCAGCUUAGUCGCUGAUUACUUGACUAGUGAAUACAUAGCUAGCAAGAGGUAGACGCAGUGAACUGAAACAUCUUAGUAGCUGCAGGAAGAGAAAGAAACAUCGAUUCCCUGAGUAGCGGCGAGCGAAAAGGGAAGAGCCCAAACCAACAAGCUUGCUUGUUGGGGUUGUAGGACUGAACAUUAGAGUUACCAAAGUGCGACGUAGUCGCAACAGUUGGGAAGCUGUGCCAUAGAGGGUGAAAGCCCCGUAGACGAAACGUCACACUCUCUGUUCAGGAUCCUGAGUACGGCGGGACACGUGAAACCCCGUCGGAACCCGCGAGGACCAUCUCGCAAGGCUAAAUACUCCCUAGUGACCGAUAGUGAACCAGUACCGUGAGGGAAAGGUGAAAAGCACCCCGGAAGGGGAGUGAAAUAGUUCCUGAAACCAUGUGCCUACAAGCUGUCGGAGCCCGUUAAUGGGUGACGGCGUGCCUCUUGCAGAAUGAACCGGCGAGUUACGAUU
rnacentral:rRNA from 2 species